ACUCCUACGGGAGGCAGCAGUGGGGAAUUUUGGACAAUGGGCGAAAGCCUGAUCCAGCAAUGCCGCGUGUGUGAAGAAGGCCUUCGGGUUGUAAAGCACUUUUGUCUGGAAAGAAAUCCUUGGUUCUAAUACAGCCGGGGGAUGACGGUACCGGAAGAAUAAGCACCGGCUAACUACGUGCCAGCAGCCGCGGUAAUACGUAGGGUGCGAGCGUUAAUCGGAAUUACUGGGCGUAAAGCGUGCGCAGGCGGUGAUGUAAGACCGAUGUGAAAUCCCCGGGCUUAACCUGGGAACUGCAUUGGUGACUGCAUUGCUCGAGUAUGGCAGAGGGGGGUGGAAUUCCACGUGUAGCAGUGAAAUGCGUAGAGAUGUGGAGGAACACCGAUGGCGAAGGCAGCCCCCUGGGCCAAUACUGACGCUCAUGCACGAAAGCGUGGGGAGCAAACAGGAUUAGAUACCCUGGUAGUCCACGCCCUAAACGAUGUCAACUGGUUGUUGGGGAUUCAUUUCCUUAGUAACGUAGCUAACGCGUGAAGUUGACCGCCUGGGGAGUACGGUCGCAAGAUUAAAACUUAAAGGAAUUGACG
rnacentral:rRNA from 1 species